rnacentral:rRNA from 1 species
UGGUGGAGUGAUUUGUCUGGUUAAUUCCGAUAACGAACGAGACCUUAACCUGCUAAAUAGAAACGCGAACCUGCGUUCGUGCGUUCUUCUUAGAGGGACUGACUACGUUUAGUGGUCGGAAGUUUGAGGCAAUAACA